rnacentral:rRNA from 1 species
GCCAACGUCCAUACCACGUUGAACACACCGGUUCUCGUCCGAUCACCGAAGUUAAGCAACGUCGGGCGCGGUCAGUACUUGGAUGGGUGACCGCCUGGGAACACCGCGUGCCGUUGGCA